AUUGAACGCUGGCGGUAGGCCUAACACAUGCAAGUCGAACGGCAGCACAGGAGAGCUUGCUCUCUGGGUGGCGAGUGGCGGACGGGUGAGGAAUACAUCGGAAUCUACCUUUUCGUGGGGGAUAACGUAGGGAAACUUACGCUAAUACCGCAUACGACCUACGGGUGAAAGUGGGGGACCGCAAGGCCUCACGCGAUUAGAUGAGCCGAUGUCCGAUUAGCUAGUUGGCGGGGUAAUGGCCCACCAAGGCGACGAUCGGUGGCUGGUCUGAGAGGAUGAUCAGCCACACUGGAACUGAGACACGGUCCAGACUCCUACGGGAGGCAGCAGUGGGGAAUAUUGGACAAUGGGCGCAAGCCUGAUCCAGCCAUACCGCGUGGGCGAAGAAGGCCUUCGGGUUGUAAAGCCCUUUUGUUGGGAAAGAAAUCCUAUCGGUUAAUAACCGGUGGGGAUGACGGUACCCAAAGAAUAAGCACCGGCUAACUUCGUGCCAGCAGCCGCCGUAACAC
rnacentral:rRNA from 1 species